AAAGAGACAAACCCUAAGCCGUGUCUAACGUUUGACCGUCCGUCUUAUUUAAAAAAAUAUAAAAAAAAUAAAAAAGACAAGUCACGCAUAAAGUAUUAAUCAUGUUUUGUCAUCUUGCAACAAUGAAAAUACCAAUUAUAAAAAAAUUUCAUAUAAAACGGACAGUCAAAUGUUGGACACGGAAGCCCAGGGUUUGCUUUUUU
rfam:Oryza glaberrima chromosome 12 Oglab12_0246_1, whole genome shotgun sequence.